rnacentral:rRNA from 1 species
AACGAACGCUGGCGGCAUGCCUAACACAUGCAAGUCGAACGAGAACUUCGGGUGUAGAAGCGCACGGGGGCGUAACGCGUGGGAAGCAGCCCUUAGGUUCGGCAUAACUCCCCGCAAGGGGUGCUAAUAACGGAUAAUGUCUUCCGAACAAUGAUUUAUCGACUUUGGAUGGGCGCGUGAUGGUUUGGAUAGUUGGGAGGGUAAAAGCCUCCCAGGGAGAGGAUCCAAAACGGGUCUGAGAGAAUGUUCGGCCACACUGGGCCUGAGACACGGCCCAGACCUCUACGGGAGGCGGCAGUGGGGAUUAUUGGACAAUGGGCGAAGGCUUGUUCCAGCAAUGCCGCGUGGUUGAUGAAGGCCUUAGGGUUGUAAAGCCCUUUUACCCUGGAUGAUAAUGACAGUACCGGGAGAAUAAGCUCCGGCUAACUCCGUG